UGGGGAAUAUUGCACAAUGGGCGAAAGCCUGAUGCAGCAACGCCGCGUGAGUGAUGAAGGCCUUCGGGUUGUAAAGCUCUGUCUUUUGGGACGAUAAUGACGGUACCAAAGGAGGAAGCCACGGCUAACUACGUGCCAGCAGCCGCGGUAAUACGUAGGUGGCAAGCGUUGUCCGGAUUUACUGGGCGUAAAGGAUGCGUAGGCGGAUUUUUAAGUGAGAUGUGAAAUACCCGGGCUUAACUUGGGUGCUGCAUUUCAAACUGGGAAUCUAGAGUGCGGGAGAGGAGAAUGGAAUUCCUAGUGUAGCGGUGAAAGUGCGUAGAGAUUAGGAAGAACACCAGUGGCGAAGGCGAUUCUCUGGACCGUAACUGACGCUGAGGCAUGAAAGCGUGGGUAGCAAACAGGAUUAGAUACCCUGGUAGUCCACGCCGUAAACGAUGAGUACUAGGUGUAGGAGGUAUCGACCCCUUCUGUGCCGCAGUUAACACAAUAAGUACUCCGCCUGGGAAGUACGAUCGCAAGAUUAAAAAUCUAAAUGAAUUGACGGGG
rnacentral:rRNA from 1 species